AUUCUUACAGCCGCAUCCCUCCAUCCAUAGAACCUCUCGCCGGCGGUCACUUCCACCCUUACAAUUCUCGGCGCUGCGCCACCUUGUGGCUCCCCAAUCGCCUCCUCCUUUCAUUUCGUUUUUUCCGAUCAGAGAAUGGACAAACAUGUAGAUAUAAAGAAAGUCGAUGGAUAUCCUCUCCUCUCCAUUCGGUUUUAUUACUACGUCGUCUGUUGCCAACCGCCGGUGUGUCCGUCAGCCUCCUAGUCGCCAUAGGAGUCGGAAUAAUCCGCCACGGUUUCGGAUGUUGCUGCUGUGAACCGCCACUGCGCUGCAACCGGGAAGACACGGUCGGAGCUUCUUUGUGUCUCCUUCUUCUUUCGUUCUGCCACCUUGCGAACAUCAAGCCGCCGCCUUAAGCCGCCGCUGUUACCACUCGCGUUGUUGCUGUCGUCGUCAGCCGCCACCAGGCGGGUGGCUGGGGUGUUUGUUACAAUUAGAAACAUGUGUUUGUGUUGUGCGUGACUUUGUUUGACCGGAAAAGCCACUGCCACCACCGUGACGUGGUGGUUGCCGCCGUGUACCACCAUGGAUCGGGAAUCUGUCAUCCAGCAGUUGGGGUCGAGUCUGCGGGACUUCAGCAGUAUGGGGUUGGGUUUACGGGACUUCAGCAGUGCAAGGUGCUUUGUUUGCAAAGGAAAGGAGCCGACUUGAUCGCAGCGCAUCACACUGUGUUUUCCGCACACGAGAUCCUUGGGAUUAUACUCUGAUAUGAUUUCAUAAUAUUAUAUUGUAUUAUUCGCACUUUGGGUUUAUGUAAUAACCUAAUUAAAAAUGAUUUUUUUUGGCCUUGAAUUUUGGGAUGUUACAAUCACUCUUGAAUCUUUCCCAAAAGUAUCAAAUUAGUCCCUAAAAGAGAAAAGUUGGCAAGUUAGUACGUCGGACGUACACAUGAGUACGCACAACAUACUCAUGCACCAUGCAGAAUUGCGGAGGCCAACUAGUACGUUGGGUGUACCAAGGGGUACGUUGGGCAUACUAGGCUCAUAUGCAAAACCCUAAUACUUCAUUUAACCCUAUAUAAAGAACAUUAUGAAUCUAUUUCUAGCCACCCUUAUCAGCCUCCAACCCUCUCUAAAAUCCUAAUCUCAUGUGUUUGGAUUAUGUAUGUGAUUUUGCAAGAUUUGAGUGAUUCUUGGCUCUUGUAGUUGAAGAAUAAGCUUAGAGAAGAAUAAGAA